GAUGAACGCUGGCGGCGUGCCUAAUACAUGCAAGUCGAGCGAACGGACGAGAAGCUUGCUUCUCUGAUGUUAGCGGCGGACGGGUGAGUAACACGUGGAUAACCUACCUAUAAGACUGGGAUAACUUCGGGAAACCGGAGCUAAUACCGGAUAAUAUUUUGAACCGCAUGGUUCAAAAGUGAAAGACGGUCUUGCUGUCACUUAUAGAUGGAUCCGCGCUGCAUUAGCUAGUUGGUAAGGUAACGGCUUACCAAGGCAACGAUGCAUAGCCGACCUGAGAGGGUGAUCGGCCACACUGGAACUGAGACACGGUCCAGACUCCUACGGGAGGCGGCAGUGGGGAAUCUUCCGCAAUGGGCGAAAGCCUGACGGAGCAACGCCGCGUGAGUGAUGAAGGUCUUCGGAUCGUAAAACUCUGUUAUUAGGGAAGAACAUAUGUGUAAGUAACUGUGCACAUCUUGACGGUACCUAAUCAGAAAGCCACGGCUAACUACGUG
rnacentral:rRNA from 1 species